AUAUUAGUGGCGCAGCGGAAGCGCGCCGGGCUCAUAAGCGCAAGCUAUGCUACCCGGAGGUCAAUGGAUCGAAACCAUUCUCAGCUA
rfam:Baudoinia panamericana TAMH 10762 unplaced genomic scaffold BATCOscaffold_1, whole genome shotgun sequence.